UUUCUACUUUUCCUAAAGAAAGCUGAUCCGGAUAAAAUUAAAAUGCUCAUGAAGUGGGGAUGCUGUGCAGUUUGGACCUGAGGGGUGCUGAGGACACUGGGGGCCAUGCCUGCUCACAGC